rnacentral:rRNA from 1 species
CAGUCGCCGCGGUAAUACGUAGGUGGCAAGCGUUGUCCGGAAUUAUUGGGCGUAAAGGGCUCGCAGGCGGUUUCUUAAGUCUGAUGUGAAAGCCCCCGGCUCAACCGGGGAGGGUCAUUGGAAACUGGGAAACUUGAGUGCAGAAGAGGAGAGUGGAAUUCCACGUGUAGCGGUGAAAUGCGUAGAGAUGUGGAGGAACACCAGUGGCGAAGGCGACUCUCUGGUCUGUAACUGACGCUGAGGAGCGAAAGCGUGGGGAGCGAACAGGAUUAGAUACCCCUGUAGUCCCUGUCUCUUAUAU